CGGUACUUUAACCUAAAAUUCGAUUAUUUUAUUAUUAUUUAUGUUGUACAAGUAAAUAAAUUAUAUAAGUGAUUUACACGCUGUUUCGAUGAGCCCGGACAUUACCGAACAAUAUUAAGCAAAUGUCAGAUACUUAAAUUGGAAUAGGAUUUUUAGAAAAGUAUCCACACACAAAUGGUACUACUGUAUCUUCCAAUGAUUUAAUACAACGUAUAAAAAGAAUUAGGUGAGUAAUCAUAUCAUCAGUUGAAAUAAAAAUAGUUUUAGCAUGAUUUUAAAAUCUCAUAAAUUUUAAUUAUAUUUUGCAAUUGUGUAAACUAUUUUGACAUUAAUGAAGUAGAAAAAAAUAAAUCGAAUUGGUCAAAGGACAUAAUUCUGUUAAGGACAAUCAAAUGGCUCAGUCGGCAGAAGAUGGAAUAAUGUUGAAGGAAGCAAUAAUAUGUCAAACAAAACAAACAACCGGUGAGAAAGAAAAGUACCACAAGCAAAAGCAGUGACUGAGAUAAUAAUUGAGCAACAAAAGCAACAGUAAUGAAUUUAAGCAGCAGAAAUAAUGUAUUUAAUUGUUGCAAAAUUAUGUCGCAAGCUUAAGGCAGAUAUUAAACGCCUAAAAUCAUAUUUUUAAUCAAGUCGACAGGCUGAACAAGAACUACGAUCUCAAAACACUUUAUUAAAUGGUGAACAACAAGCAUAAGAUUAUACAGGUUAGUCGCGGCUCGACAACAGGACAAACAGACAAUGUCGUUUCUGGAGCGACGAAUAGCUGACAAAAGAAGACAACGUGCAGCCUCCAAGGCGCUAGCUUCCGAAAGAAGAGCUCGACAUACUGCUGAGGAAGCCUGCUCUCUCUCUCUCUCUCUCUCAUUCGACAAGAGUGUACAGAUGCAUGUAAGUUCCGUAGAGCCUACAUAGAGUUGGAUCUCAAAAGCUUUUUCUUUUCAAUUUCUUGUAAUGAUAAUAAAUAAGCAGUUUCUUUUUUUAUUGUUCUGUUAUUUAAAACAAUAUCGCUAUUAAAGGUUUACGAGAAAGAAACUGCUUGUUAUACAGAAAAUCAUAGUGAAUCAGAAAUCAUAUUUGGGACACUUAAUAACACCUAAUCCAAUCGAAAUUAAAGGAGAUCGAUGUUUUAAAGAUUAGAAUAUCACAAGACUUAGCUAUAAGCCUGCAAGACACAUUUGGCCUUGCAGCUCCAUCAUGUUCUACGUCAAAGCCAUUCUUAUCUGUACGCAUAAAGUGUGAAUAAAAAUGAAAUUCAUUAAAAUAGAAUUGCUCGGGAUACAUAUACUUCCAUGUGACAUGAUGAGGAUUGUAGUUGUACUAUGAAGUAAAACCAUACCAAGACAAGAUUAAGAAAUGCACUUUUAUACAAUUCACAUUUAAACAAUGUAUAAUACGUUUUUGCAAUAUAUCUUAUUUCUAUAGGGUUUGGAAUCUUGGAAUAAAGGCUGUAUAAAAAAACAAA